UACGUAGGGUGCAAGCGUUGUCCGGAAUCACUGGGCGUAAAGGGUGCGUAGGCGGCGCGGUAAGUCGGGUGUGAAAUCUCGGAGCUUAACUCCGAAACUGCAUUCGAUACUGCCGUGCUUGAGGACUGGAGAGGAGACUGGAAUUUACGGUGUAGCGGUGAAAUGCGUAGAUAUCGUAAGGAAGACCAGUGGCGAAGGCGGGUCUCUGGACAGUUCCUGACGCUGAGGCACGAAGGUCAGGGGAGCAAACGGG
rnacentral:rRNA from 1 species